CUUAAAAUCAGGGCUUACAGCCCUAUUCUCACCCAAUGUAUUUGAAACUUCGUUGCUUUGGCAGGCCCCUGGCUUCGGCUGGACAGCGCCUGCCAGAGGAUCUAAACCCUCGAAUCUCUGCUGUCUGAGAAACUAUACAAUAGUUAAAACUUUCAACAACGGAUCUCUUGGUUCUGGCAUCGAUGAAGAACGCAGCGAAAUGCGAUAAGUAAUGUGAAUUGCAGAAUUCAGUGAAUCAUCGAAUCUUUGAACGCACAUUGCGCCCUCUGGUAUUCCGGGGGGCAUGCCUGUUCGAGCGUCAUUACAACCCUCACGCUUUGCGUGGUGUUGGGCCUGCCCUAUAAAGGGGCUUGCCUCAAAAUCAGUGGCGGCCGCUGUUCGACCCCUAAGCGUAGUAACUAUUCGUCGCUUCUGGGUGAGAGCAAGCCUGCUAGGAACCCCCACCUUCAAAGGUUGACCUCGGAUCAGGUAGGGAUACCC
rnacentral:rRNA from 1 species